UAUCAAGCAAAUGCAUCAAAGCACAUUUUCACAAAUAGCUGUCAGCUUUGCCUUGCUGGUGUGUUACAUUUAGGCUGCGGUCAGAGGAAAAUGAAAGAAAAACACUGUAGUUAAAAUAUUUAAUAUUCACAGAUGAAACUUUAGUAGCCUACUUAAUAAGUUAUGUUCACAGCGAGCACAACAUGCUAACUGCUCCCAGGUUCACAGUCCGCGGUUUGAUUUUACAAAAUCAGUUUGGGCGAAUGCAACUUAUUGAUCAUGAGCCAAACAUUUAGCAAGCCAGGAACACAUUCAGUCUACCUGAAGGAAGACGUAUUUCAUUGUAAGUUAAUGCUGUUAAAUAAAGAGAAAAAAAUACAUUAAAAACAAACAAACAAAUUAUAAAAAAAAAAAAAAACACCUACGCUGCGUCCGAAAUCGCAUACUUCCAUACUAUAUAUUUGGUGGGAGAACAGUAUGCGAAGCAAGUAGUAUGUCCGAAUUCUUAGUAUUCGAAAAACAGUAGGCGAGAUGUACCCGGAUGACCUACUACUUCCGCCCGAAUUCCGUAACACGCAUACGAUGGACACUACACUAUCCCAUGAGGCCACGGGAGAGGACUCGUCAUACUGAAAAUAACGGAAAACCGCGACGCGGCUGUUUUGAAGUGGACUGAUGAACACAGCCUUGUUCUCAUCCACGGAUGAAGACUUCUUCACUGAAAGCAUAAUGCUGCAAUCAAAGGGUUUCAGUAAUCAUGCUCUUGAAGAGCUGGCACACUGUUGUCUGGUGUGACACACCUGUGGACAGAUUGUCCCAAACAUGCUCUCCUGUGCUGGCUUCUGUUUCGGGAUUCCAGUGUAUCAUUGUCAUGAUCCUCCACAACUUCUGGAUCAACAAUGUCCUCAUUCAGAAGACCGAGGUCGUGGAGCACCACACAGCAUGCAGCAACAUCUGGCACAAAGGCAGGGCUCACUUCCAGAGCCUUGAAGAAGAAGAAGAUGGAGUGCCAGCUUGUCUUCAGCAUCCUGAAGGCUCUCUCAACAAUGUUCCGUGCACAAGCAUCAUUGGUGUUGAAACAAAGCUGUACAGGUUUCUGUACAGGCUGUCUGUAUGGUGUGAUGAGGCAGGUGGGCACUCAAACAAGGACACUCACCAUCUCCCAGG